rnacentral:lncRNA from 1 species
GUCAGGAGUAGAGAAUGAUGGAUUCUGAUGUUCAGUUUGCUUUCUCCUUUUAAUUCAGUCCAGGACCCCAACUCAUAAAAAGAAGAACAGGAGAGAUGCAAGCCCUGUUCACAGUAGCAUUAAUCAACAGUGUCUUACGUCUGACUGACCCAUCCUCCCAGAGCAUAGAAGAUGUUACUUUCAUGCUUCUCCCUGUGUUGAGGAAAGCAGGCAUCCUUCCAAGGACUAGGCUGGAGGUCCACACAUAAACCUGAGCAGAGGCCUGUGUCCUCUUUAGCACAUGAUUCCUACUUGGCAUCCCCAGCGGCUGUUUGGGUCCUAAGGAGACAGAUAUA